rnacentral:rRNA from 1 species
CCUACGGGAGGCAGCAGUGGGGAAUAUUGCGCAAUGGGCGAAAGCCUGACGCAGCGACGCCGCGUGAGGGAUGAAGGUCUUCGGAUCGUAAACCUCUGUCAGCAGGGAAGAACGGUCACUGUGCUAAUCAGCAGUGAAUUGACGGUACCUGCAAAGGAAGCACCGGCUAACUCCGUGCCAGCAGCCGCGGUAAUACGGAGGGUGCGAGCGUUAAUCGGAAUUACUGGGCGUAAAGCGCGCGUAGGCGGUAUGUGAAGUCAAGGGUGAAAUCCCCGGGCUCAACGUGGGAACUGCCUUUGAAACUGGCAAACUGGAGUGUGGGAGAGGAGAGUGGAAUUCCAGGUGUAGGGGUGAAAUGCGUAGAGAUCUGGAGGAACAUCGGUGGCGAAGGCGACUAUCUGGCACAUAACUGACGCUGAGGAGCGAAAGCGUGGGUAGCAAACAGGAUUAGAUACCCGUGUAGUC